UUAGCUCUUGGGGCAGCCAUAAUGGAGAGUUGGGCUUUUCUGGCUAAGAGGCUUUUGAGGAUAAGGGAAACGGAGGUUGCAAAGAUAAUAAGCUAAAAAGGUAGGAAGAGGUUGUGGGAGGGAAGACUAUUUAUAGGCGACAAAGGGGUAGGUUUAGAUAUCAAACGAUCAACAGGGAGCGAGACAACCAAAGUGAGGGGCACAAAUCUAGAAGUUAUAUC
rnacentral:lncRNA from 1 species